rnacentral:misc_RNA from 1 species
GUAGGUGAACCUGCGGAGGGAUCAUUACAAGAACGCCCGGGCUUCGGCCCGGUUAUUCAUAAUUUUUUGUUGUCCGACUCUGUUGCCUCUGGGGCGAUUUUGUUUUUGGGCGGGGGCUUUGGGUGGACACUUCAAACUCUUGCGUAACUUUGCAGUCUGAGUAAACUAAAUUAAUAAAUUAAAACUUUUAACAACGGAUUUCUUGGUUCUG